rnacentral:miRNA from 1 species
ACCCUCCCACCUCCUGGACAGCAUCCAUUUUGAAAAUGGAUGCUGUCCAGGAGGUGGGAGGGU